UGUUACCUGGGAGGUGACAGGGGGAUUUGUCCUCUUUUGUGAUAAUUGGGCACGAUUUUGCUCAUUAAUGGCGUAGUGGAGAAUAAAGCCGGAUCAGACCGGAGUCAGGGAGUUGUCGCGGUUGAUCGGACCUAUUGGGGUGGUUGAACCGCCGGCCGUGGUGGGCCUAGGGUUCGUAGAUGGUAAGUGCAUUAAUUGCUGAGUGAACCGG
rnacentral:lncRNA from 1 species